rnacentral:lncRNA from 1 species
CUGAACCUGCAAAUCACAGCAUUGCUAGUCCAACCACAACCACCUUGGUCCAAAAUGUCCAACACUCUUGCAUCAAUCCAAGACAAUAACACUACAUGCUUGCAUCAAGUCCAAACUACUGAAGACAUCACAGCAGGAGCAAAUCAAAGCAGUCAUGGUUGUUCAUCAUGGUUCAUCUGCAUCCAACACCAAGUUCAGGCUAUU